rnacentral:tRNA from 1 species
GAAAAAUUAGUUAAUUUAUAACAUAGUCUUGUCAAGACUAAAUUACUAUUAUAGUAUUUUUCU